rfam:Bacillus sp. 1NLA3E, complete genome.
UGUUUAUAGCACACCGCACAUAACAGGUACUAAGUUUUUGCUUUAAUUAGCAAUCCCCUGUAAUGGCGAGUCUUAAUCUAUAA